rnacentral:rRNA from 1 species
UCCGUAGGCGGGCGUCUAAGUCAGUGGUGAAAUCUUACAGCUCAACUGUAAAAUUGCCAUUGAUACUGGAUGUCUUGAAUUAGUGUGAAGUGGUAGAAUGUGUAGUGUAGCGGUGAAAUGCAUAGAUAUUACACAGAAUACCAAUUGCGAAGGCAGAUCACUAACACUAUAUUGACGCUGAGGGACGAAAGCGUGGGGAGCGAACAGGAUUAGAUACCCUGGUAGUCC